AACUCGCUGUGAAGAUGCAGUGUACCCGCGGCAAGACGGAAAGACCCCGUGAACCUUUACUAUAGCUUGACACUGAACAUUGAGCCUUGAUGUGUAGGAUAGGUGGGAGGCUUUGAAGUGUGGACGCCAGUCUGCAUGGAGCCGACCUUGAAAUACCACCCUUUAAUGUUUGAUGUUCUAACGUGGACCCGUAAUCCGGGUUGCGGACAGUGUCUGGUGGGUAGUUUGACUGGGGCGGUCUCCUCCUAAAGAGUAACGGAGGAGCACGAAGGUUGGCUAAUCCUGGUCGGACAUCAGGAGGUUAGUGCAAUGGCAUAAGCCAGCUUGACUGCGAGCGUGACGGCGCGAGCAGGUGCGAAAGCAGGUCAUAGUGAUCCGGUGGUUCUGAAUGGAAGGGCCAUCGCUCAACGGAUAAAAGGUACUCCGGGGAUAACAGGCUGAUACCGCCCAAGAGUUCAUAUCGACGGCGGUGUUUGGCACCUCGAUGUCGGCUCAUCACAUCCUGGGGCUGAAGUAGGUCCCAAGGGUAUGGCUGUUCGCCAUUUAAAGUGGUACGCGAGCUGGGUUUAGAACGUCGUGAGACAGUUCGGUCCCUAUCUGCCGUGGGCGCUGGAGAACUGAGGGGGGCUGCUCCUAGUACGAGAGGACCGGAGUGGACGCAUCACUGGUGUUCGGGUUGUCAUGCCAAUGGCACUGCCCGGUAGCUAAAUGCGGAAGAGA
rnacentral:rRNA from 1 species